GUAGCCUAGUGGUUAGAGUGUAGAGGAGGCAGGUAGCCUAGUGGUUAGAGUGUAGAGGCGGCAGGGUAGCCUAGUGGUUAGAGUGUAGAGGCGGCAGGGUAGCCUAGUGGUUAGAGUGUAGAGGUGGCAGGUAGCCUAGUGGUUAGAGUGUAGAGGUGGCAGGUAGCCUAGUGGUUAGAGUGUAGAGGUGGCAGGUAGCCUAGUGGUUAGAGUGUAGAGGUGGCAGGUAGCCUAGUGGUUAGAGUGUAGAGGAGGCAGGUAGCCUAGUGGUUAGAGGGUAGAGGUGGUAGGUAGCCUAGUGGUUAGAGUGGAGGGGCGGCAGGUAGCCUAGUGGUUAGAGGGUAGAGGUGGCAGGGUAGCCUAGUGGUUAGAGUGUAGAGGAGGCAGGUAGCCUAGUGGUUAGAGUGUAGAGGUGGCAGGUAGCCUAGUGGUUAGAGUGUAGAGGCGUCAGGGUAGCCUAGUGGUUAGAGUGUAGAG
ensembl:lncRNA